UUUAAGGCAAGUUAAUGGGAAAUAUUGAAUUGAAGGUUGAAGCUCACUGUUUAAUAUUCAUGUUCAGUAGAUUUUGCACACUCAACCCCACACUGCUCCCUGACUGCCCUUCAGUUUUCAACACAAUGUUCAGACCACUCUGUCUUUAUGCUCUGGUUAGGUUUAGGCACCACAAAAACACUUGGUCAGGGUUUGAACACCAUCAUGUUCUGACUGCACAAACACACAGAUGUCUAAACGACAUCAACUAAGGCUGGAAAUUAUCCUGAGGUCCUUAAACCAUAUCCAGACCUUUCAAAGCUCCAGAUGUUGAUCAGUGGCUCGGCUGUCUUCUCCCAGGCCCGUCUCCUGGAUAUCAUGUUAGCACCUAAUGUUUCUGCAAACCACAGACACAUGUGUAUAUCAUUAUAUCUUAUUAGCUGACUGUCACAUCAGUGCAUCACCUGGGAGAUGUUUCUGUAACAUUUCAGGAGACCUGCAGACAUUUCAAGACGUGUUUGUAGCUGUUUCAUGGGAAGUCAGACUGUCUCAAUCUGUGAUCGUGGUGACCGAAACAGAAAACAAGGACAGUGUUGUGACAAAUAGAAAAUAGCUCAGAUGGAAAACAUUUGUUUUGGACUUGAGCGAAGAUUAAUUCUGCCAACUGGGUUUGAUUAUUGCCAAACUCUGCUGCCAACCUUUCCACCAAGAUGAAACAUGUUAUGUGGAAAUGUCAGCAUGACAUGGCAAAUGGGAAUGUAUUAAUGGUUUGCCAAAUGUUAAUGCCAACAACUUGUUCAAGUGACUGAGUCCGGGCCAGACACACAAUGUUGCCUUGUUGUGUGUUUAAUCCUGAAAUCACGUCCCAUCCAGUCUGAACCCUCAACCACUCUGUCAGUGUUCAGAACUGAAGCCCCUGAUAACUGUUUCUUUAUAAAUGUGCUGCCUGGAGCACAGAGAGGAAGAACACUUGGUUUGUGGUCCCGUUUGUCUUUUUGCAUAGCAGAUAGUCAGAGUCAACAUCAGGCGCUGAUGUGUUUGUGGAGGGAAAACCUCGUCACAAUCCUUAAACAGAAUCAAUUGGGGACAGCGGACGUAUGUACACCAUGAUUAUUAUGAUCACCGUCAUUUCUCCGUCUCCCCAUGACAAAGCACCUGUUGUCUUCACGUCCACACCCGUCUGCGAGCGGCUGACUCUCUCACCAUAGAAUAAAAGAAGAAAUAUGCGAUGCACCAACAGUCGGGCACAAUAGAAUGAAAGACACACCCGGUGGUUUGGGAGGAUCGCGUUGAUGAUGGGAAGCUGACAGGGUGGACAGCACUUCAUCCUGUCAGCUGUGCCAGAGGAACUAUCCUGAGUAUCAGUCAAACCAAAUGAAAUGUGACUGGAUACGCUGAGUGCUUCCUGAUGUAUUCGCACAAACAUUUAGGUUUCAGGAAAUAACGCUGAGAGUAUCAGUGAGCACGAGGAGCUGAACGACUGCCACAGAACAGACAAAAAUCAACAUCACAGUGAAGAAAGUAAGAUUCAGAACUCCUCCUCCAGAAUAAAUGUUAGCAAAGCACGUUUCUGCAAAACCACAUAUAGGUUCAAAAUUUACUUCUGUUUAGGCUGAAACAAUCUCAGAUGGAGAUGUCUGCAGGUGUCCUUAAAGAUAUCCACAGCUGUCACUCAAACUGCAGUCUGGUGUUUGUAACAUUUAGCUUAACAACCAAAAUCUCCUCCACCGCCUGAUGGGAAAGGUGACUAAAAAUCAUAUACAGUGAACGUGAUGUGACACCGUUGGUAUCUGUGGUUUGAAGAAAGGUUAACUGGUCUGAGCUGCAGCUUGAGAAGAAAAGAAAACAACAUGAAGAAAUAUUUCUGAAAGCCACAAAUAGGGAACAAAGAAGUGAAUAAAUGUGUGCAGCGUGGCAAAACAAAAAAACGACAGUUUAAAGGUACAGGUACAAACACUGAUGCUUUGGGAUGGUAGCCAACCCGUCGUACAAUCCCAAAGUGUUGAGAGUGAGACUCAAAAAUCAACUUUUCAACUAAUUGCAGCCAUCAGGUUAAUCUAGAGGCUGUUCUGCUGCUCUCCACUGAGCUGGAGUAACACAAGAAAAUGUAGUUUGCAUAAUUGUCAUGAAUUUUAGAGUCACAUUUAACCCAGUCUGGCUUAAAAGCUGCAGUUCAAAGUUCAUUCUUGACUCUGGAACUCAGAACUAAGUUGACGCAACAUAAAGAACCAGGAAGGAAAAAUAAUUGAUGUAAGAGCCUUUAAGAUUCUGCUGAGUAAUGUGCUGUGGUGUGGUUGAACCUUCAGGAACACUUUCUAAUUGACCUCGAAGUGUUUCUAAUGGACGUGACCUACAAUCUAUUGUAACGUAGGUUUAAUCGUCUAAUUUCUUAUGUAAACAGCCGUUACAAUGACCAACAGGCUGCAGCUCGUCCAGGCCGAGUCUGACUGCUUAGCAACAACAAUAACAGCCAAGGAGAGCCGUCAUGGCUCCGGCGUGUGAAUCUAUAGGUGUGACCUUACAGGUGCCUGCAGCAUGAACCACCCUGUGACUCAGCCGUGUGACAUCUCUGCAGAGCGCUCUGCAUCUCAGUUUUGACGCAACAGAAAAAUAUCUUCAUCCUGAACGUGAAGGGAGCGGCUGGAGCCAUGCGAAGUGACUGAGAGGUGUCUGUGCAGGUGUGCUCGGCUGCUGGGUUUACAGGUCAGCCUGCUCUCUGUCCAAGACUUCCCACAGUUCAUCACAACCGCUGUCACUUUCUGGGAGCCAUCAAGACGACAGCACAGGAUCCUCUCAGGACUGACGGACUAAAAGAAAAAGAAACGCCAUCAGCAUGUGAGCAACGUGACCUGCUCAUCUAACACAUGCAUAAUGACUAUGAUGUAUCAAUAAACAUGACUGAGAAGAAUUAAAUAUGAUACGACAUGG